rnacentral:rRNA from 1 species
CCAAUAGCGUAUAUUAAAGUUGUUGCAGUUAAAAAGCUCGUAGUUGAAUUUCGGGGUUCUACCGUUGGUCAGGCUAACAAGUCUGUACUAGCGUGUAGAAUUCCUACCUUCUGGGGAACCAUCAUGUUAUUAAUUUAGCGUGGUGGGAAACCAGGACCUUUACCUUGAAAAAAUUAGAGUGUUCAAAGCAGGCUUACGUCUGAAUACAUUAGCAUGGAAUAAUAAAAUAGGACGGUGGUCCUGUUUUGUUGGUUUCUGAAUCACCGUAAUGAUUAAUAGGGAUAGUUGGGGGCAUUAGUAUUCAAUUGUCAGAGGUGAAAUUCUUGGAUUUAUUGAAGACUAACUUCUGCGAAAGCAUUUGCCAAGGAUGUUUUCAUUAAUCAAGAACGAAAGUUAGGGGAUCGAAGACGAUCAGAUACCGUCGUAGUCUUAACCAUAAACUAUGCCGACUAGGGAUCGGACGAUGUUAAAUUUUAUUGACUCGUUCGGCGCCUUACG